rnacentral:rRNA from 1 species
AGGCCGAAAGGCGUAGUCGAUGGGAAACAGGUUAAUAUUCCUGUACUUGGUGUUACUGCGAAGGGGGGACGGAGAAGGCUAUGUUAGCCGGGCGACGGUUGUCCCGGUUUAAGCAUGUAGGCUGGUUAUCCAGGCAAAUCCGGAUAAUCAAGGCUGAGGUGUGAUGACGAGGCACUACGGUGCUGAAGUAACAAAUGCCCUGCUUCCAGGAAAAGCCUCUAAGCAUCAGGUAACAUUAAAUCGUACCCCAAACCGACACAGGUGGUCAGGUAGAGAAUACCAAGGCGCUUGAGAGAACUCGGGUGAAGGAACUAGGCAAAAUGGUGCCGUAACUUCGGGAGAAGGCACGCUGGUGUGUAGGUGA